AGCUCCAAUAGCGUAUAUUAACGUUGUUGCAGUUAAAAAGCUCGUAGUUGAAAUUCCGGCUGUCUUCAGCCUGUCUGUGAAAGUGUCGGAUACCUUAAAACGUUUCUGGCUCCUGAGCAGACUUUUACUGUGAACAAAUUAGAGUGCUCAAAGCAGGCUUUUGCUUGAAUAUUUCAGCAUGGAAUAAUAAAAGACGACUUCGUUCAUUUUAUUGGUUAUUGACCGAAGUAAUGAUUAACAGAAACAGUUGGGGGCAUUCGUACUUGAUAGUCAGAGGUGAAAUUCUUAGAUUUAUCAAAGACGAACUAAUGCGAAGGCAUUUGCCAAGAAUGUUUUCA
rnacentral:rRNA from 1 species